AUCCAGCUGAUAAGUCCCAAAUAGGAUGAAACGUGAGUACUGGAU
rfam:Schistosoma curassoni strain Dakar, Senegal genome assembly, scaffold: SCTD_scaffold0000661